GUUAGGAAUAUUCGUCAAUGGAGGAAACUCUGAACGAGCAAUGCCGCGUGAACGAUGACGGCCCUAUGGGUUGUAAAGUUCUGUUGUUUGGAAAGAACGAUAGAUAGAGGAAAUGCUAUCUAUGUGACGGUACCAUUCAAGAAAGCCACGGCUAACUACGUGCCAGCAGCCGCGGUAAUACGUAGGUGGCGAGCGUUAUCCGGAUUUAUUGGGCGUAAAGGGUGCGCAGACGGUUUAUUAAGUCUAAAAUCAAAUCUUGGGGCUCAACCCCAUUCCGUUUUAGAAACUGGUAGACUUGAGUAUGGUAGAGGCAAAUGGAAUUCCUAGUGUAGCGGUGGAAUGCGUAGAUAUUAGGAGGAACACCAGUGGCGAAGGCGAUUUGCUGGGCCAUUACUGACGUUCAGGCACGAAAGCGUGGGGAGCAAAUAGGA
rnacentral:rRNA from 1 species